rnacentral:rRNA from 1 species
CGCCUGUUUUUCAAAAACAUUGCUUUUUGAUUAGUUUUAAAAAGUAAGGUCUGCCCCCUGAUUAUUUAAAGAGCUGCGAUAUAUUAAUCGUACAAAGGUAGCAUAAUCAUUUGUCUUUUAAUUGAAGACUGGAAUGAAAGGCGAAACGGAGAUUAUUUGUCUUAAUUUUAUUGGUUUGAAUUUUAUUAUUUUGUAAAAAAGCAAAAAUUUAGUUAAAAGACGAGAAGACCCUGUUGAGCUUUAUUUUUAUGUUUGGUUUGAGAAAUUAUUUUUGGAUUAGGUAUGAAAAUUUUACUGGGGCGGUAGAAAGACAUUUAAAGCUUUUUCUUUAAAAAUUAUUUAUUAAUAUGAUUUUAUCCAAGAAGAUUGAAAUAAUAAAAAGUUACCACAGGGAUAACAGCGUAAUUUUUCUGUAGAGUUCUUAUCGAUAGAAAAGUUUGCGACCUCGAUGUUGGAUUAGGAAAACCUUUUGGUGUAAAAGUUAAAUGUGUUAGUCUGUUCGACUAUUGAAUUCCUACAUGAUCUGA